AGUUUGAUCAUGGCUCAGAUUGAACGCUGGCGGCAUGCCUUACACAUGCAAGUCGAACGGCAGCACGGGAGCUUGCUCCGCUGACGAGUGGCGAACGGGUGAGUAAUGCAUCGGAACGUGCCCUGAAGUGGGGAUAACGUAGCGAAAGUUACGCUAAUACCGCAUAUUCUGUGAGCAGGAAAGCAGGGGAUCUUCGGACCUUGCGCUUUUGGAGCGGCCGAUGUCGGAUUAGCUAGUUGGUGGGGUAAAGGCCCACCAAGGCGACGAUCCGUAGCGGGUCUGAGAGGAUGAUCCGCCACACUGGAACUGAGACACGGUCCAGACUCCUACGGGAGGCAGCAGUGGGGAAUUUUGGACAAUGGGCGCAAGCCUGAUCCAGCCAUGCCGCGUGAGUGAAGAAGGCCUUCGGGUUGUAAAGCUCUUUCGGUGGGGAAGAAAUUGCUUGGGUUAAUACCCUGAGUAGAUGACGGUACCCGCAUAAGAAGCACCGGCUAACUACGUG
rnacentral:rRNA from 1 species